CACAUGCAAGUCGGACGGUAGCACAGAGAGCUUGCUCUUGGGUGACGAGUGGCGGACGGGUGAGUAAUGUCUGGGGAUCUGCCCGAUAGAGGGGGAUAACCACUGGAAACGGUGGCUAAUACCGCAUAACGUCGCAAGACCAAAGAGGGGGACCUUCGGGCCUCUCACUAUCGGAUGAACCCAGAUGGGAUUAGCUAGUAGGCGGGGUAAUGGCCCACCUAGGCGACGAUCCCUAGCUGGUCUGAGAGGAUGACCAGCCACACUGGAACUGAGACACGGUCCAGACUCCUACGGGAGGCAGCAGUGGGGAAUAUUGCACAAUGGGCGCAAGCCUGAUGCAGCCAUGCCGCGUGUAUGAAGAAGGCCUUCGGGUUGUAAAGUACUUUCAGCGGGGAGGAAGGCGAUGCGGUUAAUAACCGCGUCGAUUGACGUUACCCGCAGAAGAAGCACCGGCUAACUCCGUGCCAGCAGCCGCGGUAAUACGGAGGGUGCAAGCGUUAAUCGGAAUUACUGGGCGUAAAGCGCACGCAGGCGGUCUGUUAAGUCAGAUGUGAAAUCCCCGGGCUUAACCUGGGAACUGCAUUGAAAC
rnacentral:rRNA from 1 species